AGAUGGCGACCGGCGCACGGGUGAGUAACACGUAUCCAACCUGCCGAUAACUCGGGGAUAGCCUUUCGAAAGAAAGAUUAAUACCCGAUGGUAUAAUCAGACCGCGUGGUUUGAUUAUUAAAGAAUUUCGGUUAUCGAUGGGGAUGCGUUCCAUUAGGCAGUUGGUGAGGUAACGGCUCACCAAACCUUCGAUGGAUAGGGGUUCUGAGAGGAAGGUCCCCCACAUUGGAACUGAGACACGGUCCAA
rnacentral:rRNA from 1 species